GUGGGAAAUACACCUGCUGGGUGAAUAGAUGUGGUGGCCCGAAUCAGAAACGGCGUACAAUCAACUUAUGCGUCAUCACAGUUUCCCGCAAAGGACAUUCUAUUUUAUUUUGUGCUGUGACAUGCAAUGUGGGAUUAAAUGAUCUAAAAAAUAUUUCAAGUCUUCUGAUGAGCAAUCAAAUGAUAUCAGUGGGCAUAGAUCCAUCCGGAUCCUUCAUCUGUAAUUCAACUGAGAUCUUGGAUGGGCAGCCUACACCAACUACAAACACCUACUCAGUCUCAGCUGCUUUAAACACAACAGGUGAUUUUCAGAAGACUGAAUCUUUGAUGCCAAUUAUUUAUGGAGCAGUAGCUGCCUUUGCAUUUUUUAUUUUACUUGCAAUUUUAACUUUCUGUUUGAAAUCAAGAAUACAGGCGGCCUUUCCUUUUCGUCUUUCAUGUUGUGGCUUCACUCGUGAGGCGGAAGAGGAGUCAGCAGUAAUUUAUUCCUCUGUUAUCAUCAGGACACCAGCAAAAACAAGAAGUCAACACAGAGUUUCUGGAAGCUGUAUUUACAGUGAAUUAAAGUGUAAAGGAAAUACCAUUUAGUGUUGAGUGAAAUCAACACGGAAAUUUUGGUGAUCAUAAUUUCCACACUGUCAAUAGAUUUUGUAAUGGAUUCCACAGCAGAUAUUUGUGUUUCAUAAUUCUUUGAAAACAUCCGCACAGCCACAAGGAAUUUUUCCAUCCAGUUUUUAAACAACAAAUAUGAUGGAGCUAUUUAUAAUUUUAUAAAUAUCUUGAAUCAA